rnacentral:rRNA from 1 species
UACGGAGGGUGCAAGCGUUAUCCGGAUUCACUGGGUUUAAAGGGUGCGUAGGUGGGCAGGUAAGUCAGUGGUGAAAUCAUCCGGGCUUAACCCGGAAACUGCCAUUGAUACUAUCUGUCUUGAAUACCGUGGAGGUGAGCGGAAUAUGUCAUGUAGCGGUGAAAUGCUUAGAUGAUGAACAUAGUAACACCAAUUGCGAAGGCAGCUCACUAACACGAAUAUUGACACUGAGGCACGAAAGCGUGGGGAUCAAACAGGA